GCUUAACACAUGCAAGUCGAGGGGCAUCAGGAAGAAAGCUUGCUUUCUUUGCUGGCGACCGGCGCACGGGUGAGUAACACGUAUCCAACCUGCCCUUUACUCGGGGAUAGCCUUUCGAAAGAAAGAUUAAUACCCGAUAGCAUAAUGAUUCCGCAUGGUUUCAUUAUUAAAGGAUUCCGGUAAAGGAUGGGGAUGCGUUCCAUUAGGUUGUUGGUGAGGUAACGGCCCACCAAGCCUUCGAUGGAUAGGGGUUCUGAGAGGAAGGUCCCCCACAUUGGAACUGAGACACGGUCCAAACUCCUACGGGAGGCAGCAGUGAGGAAUAUUGGUCAAUGGGCGCUAGCCUGAACCAGCCAAGUAGCGUGAAGGAUGAAGGCUCUAUGGGUCGUAAACUUCUUUUAUAUAAGAAUAAAGUGCAGUAUGUAUACUGUUUUGUAUGUAUUAUAUGAAUAAGGAUCGGCUAACUCCGUGCCAGCAGCCGCGGUAAUACGGAGGAUCCGAGCGUUAUCCGGAUUUAUUGGGUUUAAAGGGAGCGUAGGUGGACUGGUAAGUCAGUUGUGAAAGUUUGCGGCUCAACCGUAAAAUUGCAGUUGAUACUGUCAGUCUUGAGUACAGUAGAGGUGGGCGGAAUUCGUGGUGUAGCGGUGAAAUGCUUAGAUAUCACGAAGAACUCCGAUUGCGAAGGCAGCUCACUGGACUGCAACUGACACUGAUGCUCGAAAGUGUGGGUAUCAAACGGGAUUAGAUACCCUGGUAGUCCACACAGUAAACGAUGAAUACUCGCUGUUUGCGAUAUACAGUAAGCGGCCAAGCGAAAGCAUUAAGUAUUCCACCUGGGGAGUACGCCGGCAACGGUGAAACUCAAAGGAAUUGACGGGGCCCGCACAAGCGGAGGAACAUGUGGUUUAAUUCGAUGAUACGCGAGGAACCUUACCCGGGCUUAAAUUGCAGUGGAAUGAUGUGGAAACAUGUCAGUGAGCAAUCACCGCUGUGAAGGUGCUGCAUGGUUGUCGUCAGCUCGUGCCGUGAGGUGUCGGCUUAAGUGCCAUAACGAGCGCAACCCUUAUCUUUAGUUACUAACAGGUUAUGCUGAGGACUCUAGAGAGACUGCCGUCGUAAGAUGUGAGGAAGGUGGGGAUGACGUCAAAUCAGCACGGCCCUUACGUCCGGGGCUACACACGUGUUACAAUGGGGGGUACAGAAGGCAGCUAGCGGGUGACCGUAUGCUAAUCCCAAAAUCCUCUCUCAGUUCGGAUCGAAGUCUGCAACCCGACUUCGUGAAGCUGGAUUCGCUAGUAAUCGCGCAUCAGCCACGGCGCGGUGAAUACGUUCCCGGGCCUUGUACACACCGCCCGUCAAGCCAUGGGAGCCGGGGGUACCUGAAGUACGUAACCGCAAGGAUCGUCCUAGGGUAAAACUGGUGACUGGGGCUAAGUCAUAACAA
rnacentral:rRNA from 1 species